rnacentral:rRNA from 1 species
GUAACACCCGAAGUCGGUGAGGUAACCUUUUUGGAGCCAGCCGCCUAAGGUGGGAUAGAUGAUUGGGGUGAAGUCGUAACAAGGUAGCCGUAUCGGAAGGUGCGGCUGGAUCACCUCCUUUCUAAGG